GCGACAGCGGCCGGCCGUUUGCUGUUUGCCGUUUGGCAGGCCAAACCGAAACAAACCGAGCCAUGGCACGGCAGUCGUCAGUCAGUUGGCCAACAAAGUAGCAGCAGCCAACAACGUGUGGUGUGCUUGCUUGGCACCGAAAGUGGCGGUAUGCCCUUCGGGCGAUUUUCUUGGAUCGCAACGCAUCCAAGAAAAUCGCCAACACGGCAGCCAGAAAAAUACGGGCAGCAACAGCAACAAACAGCAGCAAAUCACUAAACACAGGGGGAAAAAAUCGACGAAAAAAAAAACUAAAAAUAAUAUAUAUUUCGUCUUCAUUGUUUGGCGAUUCAUUUUUAUUUUUCCACAAGCUCUGGCCAAGAGAGCAGCUGUUCAAGUGAUGUGAUGAUGUUGUGAUCCAAGUCCAAGAAUUAAGACAAACACACAGUGUCGGGUUAAGCGCUAUGCAAGACAUAACGGUGUAUGUCGUGUGUUGGUGUUGCUUAUUGGCGAUGACAAUUGCAGCACUUGGCCAACAACUCAAAAAGUCAUCAAGAAAUGUCAUGAAGUGGCAAAGAAUAUGAUGCCAACGGCCAGUCAACACACGCACACAAACACACACACACACGCUGGUGGAACAUGCAGACGAUUAGCCAAAUUCAAAGCCAGUGUUGGCUAACAGGCAAUAAGAAAGCAAUAACAACAGCAAAUCGCAGACAUCAGGUAAAGUCGACGCUGGAGGUGAACGCGGCCAAAAACAACAGCCGCUCGAAUUUAAGUUCUACGCCAGUAAAGUGUUUGCUAAAUGUCGACCGGAAACUAACGGAAAUCCUAUUGACCGACUUUGACAGUUACCAAUCAGCAACGAUGUCGUGCUGGUGCCUACGUACAACCAACUACCAACAACAACCGGGAAAGUAGCAAUUAAAAAACAAGAAGAAUACGUCCGUCUCAAUCAUGCAGCUACCAACAGUGCGCGUCGCACGUCAACAGAUGCACACGUUGGUCGAACGCACGCACCAGACCACCUCACUGCCAUAACGGUACGCUGUCGAUAGCAACGGUUCAAUUAACUUUUCGUUCAAAUGGAGCAGUUGGAAUUCAAACAAUUAAGAACGCUGGCCAUAACACACACCCUAUCACACCUGAUUGACGAAAUUCGUCUAGCGGCAAGCAGCUGCUGGCUAUAUCCCAAAAAAGCUAUUGUUUCACUUUAUUUUUUUUUGGCAAUUGACAACGCCAAAUUAUGAAGUCGUAGCGUUGUGCUUGCGAAAUGUCAACACCGCAUCAAGCCAAGCCGUGCCAAACUAGACAGCCACCGCGCCAACACACUUUAACCGUGGCCAAUUGGCCGGAAAAUCAAAGCCAGCUGCCCUUUGGAGCGUUGCAAAUACGCAUAACGCUGGUGUACGCGCUGAAGGCUGCACACGCGCGGCUUACGAGUGAAUACUGCGCGUCAUAACGUGAAAUUUUGGAUAAAAACGUUUUCGAAAAUAUUCAAAAAUAUCCAAAAGCAUACGCGUAGCAAUAAAAUAUUAAAUAGUUAAAUAUAAAAUCAAUGAAACGUUAAUAGAGGUAGUGAACUUUCAUCGCAUUAACUUAGUUUUCAAUAAAGUGCUUAAGCAACAACAAAAAGUAGUCGCUUAGUCUACACUCACAUAAAAUUGUGUAAUAAUAAAUUACAUGUAAUUAUAAUUCAACAAUUAAAAAAGACAAUUACAUAAUACUGUAAGUGUAGUGAAACUAGAACAGGCAUAUAACGGUAAAACAACGUUAAGAAAACAUAUGUGCAAUAUUAGUUUCGAAUAUAUGCAUAAGAAAGCAACAAUUUUCUAAGCGAAAAAUUGUUUAAAAAAAUAUUAAAUAUUAAGAAGUAAUAAAUUAAAUCAUUAAUCAAAAUAUAUACAUAUAUCAACUAUAAUCUAUAAAUAUAUAAACAGCUGUAUAGCAUACAUUUACUUACAUAAUCGCAACGAUCAUGAUGCAAAAUCGGUGAACUGUUGCGAACCCAGUUAUCAGUGUCGGUUUCAAUACCGCAAUGUACACGCUGAUAAAAAUAGUACCGCAAUUCGCCCACAGCAGUCAGAUGGAAUUUCCUGAAACAACAAAAAUAUCAGAAUUCUGGCGUGUAACUCCACUCUAUUGUAACAGCAAUAAAAUCAGCAGUUAGCAACACUUAACAAUCCAAUUCAUUCUUUCAAACGACACACAUAAAUCUCACCGAUUGGCAAUUACCACGUUGCAGUCAAGCGCAAACAUACAAACGUCAACGUCACUGGCUAGUGACCAACCAAUGGCGUGCGGCGGUUUCGCCGGCUGACGCACCAACACACACACCAACGCGCGUCAAAAAAACAAUUCACCACCGGAAAUGCAUUUCACUCGGCAAAAGCAACGAAAAACGAAUUUCCUCAGCUAUGCCUUGCAAUCAUGCGAUUUGUGCUGAUGCGCCAUGUCGCAGAGAGAGAGAGAGUAGUAUUGUAAGUAAUAUUUAGUGUGUAAGGCGUCACUCAUACGCCUGGUUGCAGGACAUAGCUCGCGCUUUUUUGCCUCUUGAGUCAUGUAUAUAUCCAGCACGUGAAAUUUGAAGCGUUUGUGGUUAGUGGUGGUUGAGUGGUAGCCACACGCUGAGAUUAGUGUGCAAGUGUGAGUAAGCGCGAGAGCGCCAAGUAGUAUGAGAGCGCCGAACAACAACAACGCAAAUUGGCAUUUUGCUCAUUGGCUGCAAGCACCAUAAAGGAUGCGGAAGUAACGGUUGGUGGCAUCGGCAACCGAGCUGGCCAAUCAGAAAGGUGCCGAGCGCAUGUAAGCGGUUACUUGCACGCUAUCCUUAGCUGCUUGUGGCGAAGUAAAAUUCAUGCUAUAUAUAUGCAAGUUGGAAGGUGUGUUUGCGAAGAUGGAGUUGCAUUUAUUUUAAUGGCUUGGAAGACAAAGUACACUUGCCAAAGGUAGCAACAAUAACUUUUGGCACUGACUCUGUUUUCUGUAAAUAUUUGGAAGCAAAUAUUAUGCUUACUAAGAUUCUGCAGAAUGAUAUUAUUGUAAAACAAAAUGUGUUAUGUUUGUUGCGAUUUAUAACAAAUUAAUUGGACAAAUAUGAACGUAUAUAUGAUCGUAAGUCAGGCUUGUAUAUAGUGCGAAGUAUAUAUAAUAAUAUAAUUAUAAAAUAUAAAAUAUACAUAUAAACCUUUGUAAUUAGCGUAACAUCAAACUCUAACUUUAGUUAUUAACAGUUCUAGCCCGUUAAGAAGCUUGUACGUCUUAUUGAUAGUCAUCUGGCGGUAACGGUGUUGCUUGGAAAAUAACAACUGGUCCAGCUCAUUGUCCGCAUUUUUAUUUUAGAUUUAUUUUUAAUUUAAUAACCAUCUAAUAAUCACUUAAACAUAUGUACGUAUGAAAAAAUUAUGAUAAUUAAUGACAAGAACAAAAUCAAAUAAUAUUCACAUGCCCAAGUAAAUUAUUACUGUCAUACAAUUACUUAAUUACACAUAUAAUGUAAUUUGUAGAAAAUAGUUUUACGUAACAAACGUAAUGUUCAGAAGAAGGUGGAGAAUAUUGAAAAUGAAUAAAGAUUGAAAAAACUGUAAAGCUCUCGACAGCGGAACAGAAA